rnacentral:lncRNA from 1 species
ACAGAAUCAACAUAUGAUUCUUCAUUAGUCUAGAGACCCUGGGUUUGGGUCUGUAGUCAAUUCUUACUUUGUGUCAAAUAAUGUAUAAAACUUCUUCAUCGUUUGGAAGUGGCAAGUUGUCGUCGACGAAAGAAUAGAUUGCUUAAUAUUGGUUGCUUUUAUGGGGAAACCGCGGGGCAAAAGGUGGAUGAAAUUUCAUUUAAGUAGAAUAAUGGUUAAAGUUUAAGCAAUUCUGAA